rnacentral:lncRNA from 1 species
UCAUGUCAUCAUAUCAUUGCACAUUGCAUUUGCCUCAAGGAUCAUAACAUCUUUGCUCCUUAACCUUUGGUUGGGAACUUGUGUGAGUUGGUUUGAGACCACCAAGCAUGCUUGAAUUGUAUAUUAUUGCUUUUAUCAUUUUGUUUACUAACCAAAAGAACAAAAAUAAGUCACUAACAUCUUUUGUUUUGUAGCUUGAGCAAUCAUAAGAUCCAAGGCUCCUAGAAG